rnacentral:rRNA from 1 species
CUUCCGUAGGGUGAACCUGCGGAAGGAUCAUUACCGAGUGUAGGGUUCCUAGCGAGCCCAACCUCCCACCCGUGUUUACUGUACCUUAGUUGCUUCGGCGGGCCCGCCAUUCAUGGCCGCCGGGGGCUCUCAGCCCCGGGCCCGCGCCCGCCGGAGACACCACGAACUCUGUCUGAUCUAGUGAAGUCUGAGUUGAUUGUAUCGCAAUCAGUUAAAACUUUCAACAAUGGAUCUCUUGGUUCCGGCAUCGAUGAAGAACGCAGCGAAAUGCGAUAACUAGUGUGAAUUGCAGAAUUCCGUGAAUCAUCGAGUCUUUGAACGCACAUUGCGCCCCCUGGUAUUCCGGGGGGCAUGCCUGUCCGAGCGUCAUUGCUGCCCAUCAAGCACGGCUUGUGUGUUGGGUCGUCGUCCCCUCUCCGGGGGGGACGGGCCCCAAAGGCAGCGGCGGCACCGCGUCCGAUCCUCGAGCGUAUGGGGCUUUGUCACCCGCUCUGUAGGCCCGGCCGGCGCUUGCCGAACGCAAAUCAAUCUUUCCAGGUGACCUCGGAUCAGGUAGGGAUACCCGCUGAACUUAAGCAUAUCAAUAAGCGGAGGAA